rnacentral:lncRNA from 1 species
AGGAGAUUAACAUCAAGGAGCCCACAUUUGCAAUAGCGGGUGGUGCUGGGGGGAGAGGCGAGGGGAAAAUAAAAUAAAAGCAACAAUCGGGUAAAUGCUCCUCUCUUCUCGCCACCAGCACCUUGCACAGGUCUGAAAUCGCUUGUUUUGCUUUGCUGUAUUGCGCUUGCCUGGGCUGUGGAGAGGGGAGGGGGAGGGGAGGAAGGGGGAGGUUUAACUUUUACUUGACAUUACCGGGUUAUUGUCACUUCCCCCGUGUUAAACCCCGGCGGUUUCCCCUCGCCCCCACCCCCUCCCCGGGCUCGGCUCCCUCCAGUUAACUUUGUUCAAAGGGCUGCAGCCGGGAGGGCUUGUCCGGGCCUGGGACACAGAUAGCGUAAAGUAAAUAACCACCACAAUUAGGCUGGGGCCGCGAGUUGAUCUUCGUGGCGAGAGAUCUGCUUAGUUAGCGUUUGCUGUUUCGGGGCGAUUGAAGGCCGCCGUGCCAAGGACACGCACACGCACACACACAGACACACACAGUCACUCUUACACACGCACGCUGGAUACAAAAGUCUGGAGGAUCUAGGGGAGAAUUGCAGCCGCCGGAUCAGUGCAGCAGCCGCGGCCAGAGCCAUGCGUGUCACGGCCUCCUGAGGGGGGAAAAGGAAGGAAGGGAGGAAGGAGGAAAAAACAAAAGAGAGAAAGAAAGAAGGAAAAAAGAAAAGAGGGAGAAAGGAAAGGAGAAGAAAGACGCGGGGUGGUGGAAAGUGUUUGCCUGCUUUUGUCUCGCAAUACAGUGAACUGGAAGAUGGAGAUGGAUGUUAAGGGAGUUUCUCCGUGCCCGGAGCCCAUCCCCCCGGCGGCGGGGUCUGGCGGCUGCCCGCACCAGCGCCCGCACCACCGCGAUGGGCAGCCCGCGGAGCCGGCCCCCGCCGCCGACAGCGGCCACCCGGAGCGGAGGCACGGCACUGAGAAAGAGGACAAAAAGAGACCUACAGCCAACAAGACUUCUGGUGCUCCUUCCUACAGCAGAUGGUCCAGUUCACAGCCCCAUCAGGUAAUAUGCCCUUGUCAGAAAGGAUAUGCAGCUCAGGUUGA